rnacentral:lncRNA from 1 species
GAAAGUUCAUGGAGCUCACUUAGCAUCCAUUCCUCCCCAGUUUGACCUCCUAGUACAAUAGCUCUUGUCCCUCCAACAACACAUGUACUAUGUCCCCAAGCAAAUCUUGGAGGCCGCCCAGGUACAUUUAGGAUUCUCCAUGUAGGCUUCUCGUCAGUCGGGUCUAGUAUGUAAAGCUGGGAAGCAGAAUGAAGGCCUGCAACAGACCCACCAAAUAUCAGAAUUCUCCCACCUGGAAGGCUCACAGCCACAUGAUCAAGUCUAGGAGGGGGAGCUAUGCCUCCUGGAUUUCCAGCACCUGGCAUUCCACUCCCCGUUACACACCUCCAACAUGGCUCCUCCUCACUUAAGUCCAUCGUGAAUACAUCACUAGAGCGAAAUCGCAAGGGCCCACUCUUGGCCAGACCACCAAACAUCAGUAUUUUCCUACCACCAUAAACAGAUAGUGUGUGACCCAGUCGUGAAGGAGGAGUCCAUGCUACUGGUAUCUCUCUCCAGACAGGCUUCUCCAUUGAAAGAUCAAGAAGGAAAGUAUCACUCAAGAGUACACCAGAAUCAGCACAGCCACCGGAAACUAUCAACUUAGUACCAUCAAGUGUACAGGAGCUAUGCCAAGAUCUCGGAAGAGGAGGUGCCAGUCCAGAGAUUUCACGCCAUGUUGGAGGCUUUGCAUCCAGGUCCAGAACAAACACAUCAUUGAGCAAGCCCUGCCUUCCACAGCCUCCAAAUACAACCAAACGAGAACCAUUGACACAAGAAAGUGUGUGGCCCCACCGACCAGGGGGAGGAGAACUCACCUGGACAUGUUGCCACUCCGGAUUACUUGAAUUCAGAUCCAGUACAAAGGUAUCAUUCAUAGGUUGCAUGUUAACCCCUUCACCACCAAAUAAGACAACCCUAUUACCAACUGCACAAGCACUAAAAUUACAUCGUGAAGGUUCAACAGCACCUCCAACAGUCAGUUUCCUCCAUGCUGCUGCUUCAAGAGUGGUCAGUUCUCUUGCCAGCCGACCCCAUCCAAGUCUCCUUGCACCAGGCACAGUCUCUAAAACACGUGUAGUCUCACUGCCCCAUGCAUUUUGACACACCAUUCUCCAAAGAUCUUCAUUUUUUGUUAGCUCAUACAAUCGCCUACAAACAGAGCCAACUGAUGCAAUAUCUCUUGGGGUUAAGCGAGCAAGUAUCUUGAGAGACAAUACCUCAUCACUUAACUGCAAUAUUCCACAAAGUCCACGUGUAACAUUUCGGUCCCCUACUGGAAGAGGAUUCAACGAGGAAAGCACAGAUUGAAACCGAUCUGAUGAUUUUGUAGAUUCCUUUAUCGUAGAACCUGGAAGGGGACCAAGAUCAAUGUUUGCCUCUGUGAAGAACUGGAUUCCAAUGACAUGAGUUAUCUCAUCAUCUCCAUAUAUAGGUGUCAGACGCAAUCUGUUCAUAAGUGGAGAUCCAUCUUUCCUAAAGUUCAGCAACUCACCUUGGAAUUCAACCCCUUCGUCAAGGCAUCUUCUAAUCUCUGAAACCACAGUUGAGUCCACCAAUGGAUGCCUUCUCUUAGCAAAUGGACCUCGACACUGCAAGAAUCGGCUGCAAAAUACUUUAAAUAAUUAGAACAAAGCCACGUUGAAUUAGAAACUUAGCAGUAGAGACUCAACAAACACAUGUCAUUAAGGGCCGGUUUGUAUUGCUUAUUUUCUUAUAUUGCAUGUUCUUUUGCCUUCUUUUUCCCCCUUGCGUAGUGCACAUGUUACUCAUUCUACUUCCUCAAGCAAAUUGCUUCAAUUUAAUACAAUACAGAUACAGGUUAUAAGCCAGGUUUCUACACGAGACACUAAUGCAAAUCAGUCCCAAUGAGCUAUAUCCACAGUGUAGAGUAAAAUGAAGUGAUUUUUUAACACCCCAGCUUAGCCAUUCUUAGCAUGUUUGCAAACAUAUCACAUAAUACUUGCUGGGACGAUAAGAGUAAGGAAAUCAAUCUCCAAAUAAUAAUUAUCAAGAAACUACGUCAUUUCUUAGCUUUGAAUCUUGAGAUUCACCUUAAUGAUAAAGCAUAAGACAAGAUAAACCCAACAGUUAAAAAUACCCACAUCCUCAUUACAAUAAAAACAUUGAAAAGCAAAAUCACCAUAGUGAACUAACAUUCUUAGCAAAAUUCCAAUGACAGUCAAAGCAUCAAAUUUAAAUGUUUUCUUAUUCAUCAUUAAACCUAUCAACCACCCUAAAUUCUCUAAGAGUUAGCCAGUCAGAAGCUUAAAUUGAGACACUUCUUUCCUACAUCACCUCAUUGGAAAUAACAAGGCUCUUCGAUCAACGCACUUCCCCCAUCUAAAAACUUACUCACAAGUGGCUGUCAACAUCAAAAUGUCAAUUAAAGACAGCAUGAGUUCUCUCUAGUAGUUACAAUGAAUAUAAUUGUCCAAUUUACUCUACAAAUGUUGCCGAAAUUUUUGAACACCAAUUCAUAAUACACUGCACUGCAUACAUGACAAAUCAUUCACUUAUCAGGAAAAAUGCUUAUUCUAUAAUGUGUUCAGCUAAAACAUCUUAUAAUAUAAAUAACAUAAUAGUGUACUAGAUAGAAAGAGAAGCAGUUAAUAGAGAUAUAAACUGUAUAUUUCACAAAUUUUAACUUGAUCUUUAACAUUAUUCACAUAUUUUACCUAUCAUUGCUAUAAGCACUGGCCACUGAAAGCUGGGAAACCAAAGCCAUGAAAAGCAUCCAAUUCUAACAAUUUUUGCUAAAAAAUAUUUAUUUUAUUUACAUGAGAUAAAUAAGGGAAAACAAAUGUGGGUAAGACAUCCUACUAUACAAAAGACAGUAGAAAUUACAUUAGAGAUUGUUAAACUCUAGGGAAGAGAAAAACACUAAGCUAAAACAGAGUCUUUUUAAGACAACACGGGUGUUUUAUUUAGUUGAGACAAAGGAAUCAAUACAAUAAAUAGAAGAGAUUUAUAUUAAAAAAAUAUGGAAAUAAAUAAAAAUGUUACUAAUAAUACAUAGAUAUUCCUAAAUAUGUAGGAUCAGCACCUUAUUUGCAUAACUAUAACAAUAUAUAUAGGAUCAACUACUUAAUUCUAUAAUUAUGACAAUAUUACUUAUUAUAUAGGAUCAGCUCCAAAUUUCUAUAAUUAUAAUACUUCCCCUUAAAUUCGAGCACAUAGGUAGUAUGUGCCCAGCUUAGUGCAAAUACAAUUGAUCACCAGUCCUCCGAGAGAAUUGGAGAAUAUGUUAGUGAACAGUUCAUUAAAGUUGACAAAUCUAACAGUGAUGUCUUCAAACUCCAGAUAUUUUUUCUUACAAAAUGACCGUCUAACUCAAUAUAUUUGGUUCUCUCAUGAAAGGCAAGAUUCAAAGCAAUAUGUAAUGUUGCAUGGUUGUCAUAUACAAGGUGCAUUUGAAAAAUUUCUUCAAAUUUAAGCUCUUUGAAGUGUUGUUUUAGUCAUAUGAGCUCACAAAUGACUAUUGUAAUUACCAUGUAUUUUGCUUUUGCACUUGACCUUGUGACAACAUUUUGUUUCUUACUUCUCCAUGAUAAUAAAUUACAACUAAUGAAGACACAAUAUCCAAAAGUGGAACGUCUAUGGCUUGGUGAUGCUGUCCUGUCAUAAGAAUACCCAACUAGUUGAGUAUUCCUCUUAUCUUCGUAAAUGAAGUCUUCUCCAUAAGCCUUCUUAAUAAUAUAUAAAUAAGUAUAAACUGUAUCUUAAAAACCAAAUUUCAGAUUAAGUUAGGCUUAGAGUUCACUUUAUAAGACAUAUGUCCAUAUAUCAACUUAUAUUUAAUGUAGUUACAAUCAAUUGGGGGAAGUUAAAAGUAAUCAUUCGACCAACCCUCAAAAAUCAUCCCUAAACCCAAAAAAAAAAACGCCAAUUUAGAAGAAUCAUAAAAGUCUAAUAUCCCCCCAUUCCAAUUUCUUCCUCUAAUCACACAAAAAUUACUAAAACAAAACAAAUCACACAACACUGAACCUGUCCCUCUCAAUAAACUACACACUUUUCCAAGAUGAAAAAUUAUGAGCAUUUUGUAAUGCCCAGAAUCAUUGGCAAAAAUAUUCAAGAUCCCCCAUUAUGAGUCCCUUGGUUCCAAUUGUAGUCUAACUCUUGCAGAAAUCAGGUGCCUUAGUUGAGUGGCUUACAGGGUUGUGACAGAGUGGUGACGGAUGACAAGAUGAUGAGGCUCGGGUUUGUAGGUGAUUGAGCAUUCAACAUUCAUGGUAAUCCAAGAUUUUUAGCAACAAAUUCUAAAUUUUCAGAUGAAAAAACAGAGAAAAGAGAAAAGAAGAAUUAUGAAUACUUCUGUAAAGUUUUACUGAAUUCAUGGACCCAAGAAAUAAAGAGGGACUCCUCCUUCCAAAGGAUUCCCAUCACAAAGUGUUUUCCUUAUUUAUAAUAAUACACUUUAACACUAUGUUCCCAAAUGUUAAAUAAAAAUGCAUCCCCUUUUACCUUUUCUCCUAUUAUAGCUAUGCCUUUGCCCCUAACAACUUCAAACUAACUAAUUUGGUAACUAUCGUGACCAGUGUUAUUAGUAUCAUACAAUUUGUGAAACAAUAAACAUAAUUCGAGCUGGUGGAAAACGAAUCAGUAAGUGAAUCAUUUUGGUGCUUAAAUCAGACCUGGAUCGCAACCAAGAGAUGAUUCGCACAAUUAUACCAUAGGUGCAUCACAUCCCAACAAGACUGGUUCAUGCACAAACCAACUCUAUGAAACCCUGAACAAUCUUUUGCUAAAACAAUAGUAAAUUUUCCUCCAAUAAGAUCUAGGGUUGCCCAAUGCAUGUUCACGGUUUUAUGAUUCCACUAAUUCUUUUUCAUGUUGCCUGUUUUUCAAGUUUUCACAUUUCUGUUCUUCUUUCCACUGCUCGUCCCAAAAACAGGUGCCCAUAAAUUGCUUAUAUUUUCUAUUUGUUAGCAGAUUCUUGCUUUCUUCUAAACUUCAUGUGUUAGUGGUCCCCUCUCCCUAAAAUCUGACUAGUGGAUGCUAGCACGCACACACAUAAAUGUAAGUAUAUAUGUAUAUAUAUGUUUUGACUUUUGAUAUGCUUCUCUAUGUUACAUUGCUUCUAGUGUUAUAUAUUUGGUUAUUCAGUCAGAAUAUGUGCUUUAUAUGUCCUCGUUAAAAGUUAUAUAUGCUAUGUUAUUAUUAUUGAUCAUGAUUCUUAUAAUCCACAAAAUGAUAGGAUUCAUGAUUUGGAAUAUCAGCUAUCCAAUUCAGAAUUUGAAUCCCAGUUAUAUCACCAUGAUCUUAACUAGGACAAAAAUAAAACAUUCAAAGAAAUCCAUUGUUGAGUGUAGAGGCUGUGGCCUUAAAUAGCGCUAACCAGAAGUGGACAUUUUCUUGGUGGAGAGCAAAGUGAUGACUAUAGAAAAAGACACAGUUUUGGCAAGUUCUCCCAAGGGAUUAUCACUCACAAUUGGAGUGCAGGUGUCCAAAAUAAUGCUGAUAAUCUUUCACAAAACGUGUCUACUUUAUAUUGGCCAGUGUGACCAGGGAAUUAUUACUCAUAAGUGGUACAAAUUGUACAUGAGAACAUUCCUUAAAGUAGCUCCAAUCCCGUUUUGGUUCUUCUUGUUCCAUCUUUUAAACCAUAGUGGUGCUUCUACUUAGAUAUGAAAUGCAACCGCUCUCACCUUGUGAUGAGUGCAUGAAUUAAAAACCAAGUAGGAGGCUUUAGGAUAGAAUGGAAUUUACUUUUUGUAUUGGGCCUAUAUUAGACUUUUGUAAUUGUUUCUAUUUUUCUUUUAAAUAGAAACUUUUAUGGAAAGUAUUUUUGUGUUAGCCAAUUAGAGGGUUAAGGAAGGUAAGUGUUUGUCUAAUCCCUUCCCACCACACACUCUACAUAAGGAAAGCUCAUGUACUCACUUUGACAACUUAAAUAAUAAAAGUAUGUAAGUUCAUAUUUUGAGUGUGUCAUAUCUCAAAUGGGGAGCCGCCCCUCCUUUGCUUGUCCUAGAGUGGCAUUCCAUAACUUAUCUCUUGGGUGGUGUUAGUGGUUAAUCAAAGUUCAGAAAGUAGAAGUGUUUUUCUCUCUUAGGAGUUCUUAUCUUGUGAGCUAGGUGACAAGUGGCGAAUCUCCAUAUUUGCUUAUCUCAUGGGAUUGAGUGGCACAAAGUUCUUCCCAAUUCCUAGCAUUAUAUUGAUUUUUUUCCAUUUUCUUGAUUAUUUGGUGGAAAUUGUCGGGAACAAUUUGUAUUCAUAGAUCGGAGGUUAGAUAGAUCUUUAUCACCUUGUCUCCUUCAGAAGAUUGUUGAUUAGUAAAAAUGUCAUAGUAUUUCAGCCUACACAAAAGCUCCACCCCAAUAUGUGAAUUUUUUUUUUUUCUGUUUUUUGGACCUCCUGUAUGUCCCCAACUACCAUUGGUUGUUUCUCCUACUGAUCCUUCAAUUGUUCCUCGAAUGAUCACAGAAAGCUCAGUCACCUUUCUUACUGUAUAUAUUGCCUAGCUAGCUAUGCUCCAUGAAGUCAUCUUACUAAGUUAUGUGUCACUCAUGUUGUUACCUCAUGCCAAGUUGUUAACCUUCAUAUAGAUCAAGUCACAAGCCAAGACAAGCAAGAAUCUUUACAGCAACCUAUGGCAAAAGAAAGAAGACAACUUGUCCUUGACAACGUUCCUCCAAGAUUAACACAAGUUUUUUUUCUGAAAAUAAUUUGUCAAGAAUAUAUUCCAAUCAGGUCUACCCUUUAACAGGCUACAAAGAUAUUCUUAAUAAAUAGGAUCAUGACAUGACUAACAAUCAUCUUAAUUGAUAAAACCUUUAACAGACAUUGAAAGCUUUAACUGUAGAAAUUGAACAAAGCCCACCAUUUGAGCAAGUAUCCCCAGUUUAAGGCCCUAUCUCAUCCGAAGCUAACUACUCAUCACUUCAUGUACCAGAUUUACAUACUCAAUAUAUCACAUUUGCAAUCCCAUUUGAAGUUCAAGAACACUGAGGGUAAGAGUCAUGUUUGGGAGAGGAAGUUUUUUAUGUAAAUAUAAAUAGGAAAAGAAUAUUAGUUGGUUAGUUAGUCAAAUAACCUUAAUUAGGAUUUUAAAUGGGAAGAUUGCUGUGAAUAAAGGUUAUGAAGAUUUGUUCAAUAUAGUUUAAACUAUGUAUAAAAUUAAUUUCUCUUGUGUUGAAUAUACACAUAAGAUAUUAUAUUUAUAAUAAAAGAAAUAUGGACUAAGCCCAAAAUAUAUAUAAGGAAUAAUAACAAACUAACUAAAGAUAAAAGAUAAGAUAUUUAUCUAAAAUAUCAAAUAAUCUAAUAUAUCUAACAAGAUUAUUAUUGUAUAUUGUAACCAUUGGAAAGACAUAAUAAAAGUACUUAUUGAUCUCUCAGUUUCUCUCUUGUAUCUCUAUCCUCUCUCUUCUGUUCUUCAUCUCACUUCUCUUUCUCUCUAUUUCUGUUUCUUUCUCUUUCCAACAUAAAUCCCAUAUCAGCUACCUUCGUGCUGUUUAGGUUUUGUACAAUUCAAACUACUUUUUUCCAUAUUACAGCCUACUUGCAAUAUAACAUAUCCGAUCAAAGAACAGUGGAAUCGAACAAGCCUUUAGCAAGAACAAUUAUCAAUAGCUAAGUGCAACUAGAAAACGGGCAUUUCAGCAGUCAGAUUCAAUUUCCAAAACCAAGCACAACUUGCAAUACUAUGUGAGACACAAGAAUAAACUGCAUAACCAUAUUCCCGAACAUAUGCAUUUAAGAUAACGCCACAAAGUAAUAUGAAAGAAGUUCCGGUAAAAAUCUACUAAUUCUUAUUCUUAGCUAAGUUAAAUGCUUUUAAUCCUACAGAACCAAAAUCCCAGCACUAAUAACUCCAAUUCAAACUAUGGGAAAUAAAAAAAAAAAAAAAAAAAAAAAAAAAAAAAAAAAGGAGUGACACUUUGGAGAAAAUGAAGUUAAUGUGCCUUUCCUCAGGUUGUGCUUCUUUAUUUUCUCCAGUUGAAUUUAUUUCCCAUAAAGAGAGAAAAAAUUCCAAAAGAAUAAAUUCCCAGACUUUCUUUACAUGUUUUAACAACUAUGAUACGUGGUAUAAUGCUUUCUUUAAUGCAGACCAUAUAAUUCGAAACUCACCACUUUCAAUACCAAUUUAAUUUCCCAAUCCCUAACCUGAACCAGUUCUCAACCGUAGAACAACAGAAUGCAGCACUCAACACAAAAGCUAUCACAAUUGAAAGAAAUACCAAACAGGAACAAGUUCACUCACUGAUUAAAUUACUAUUUCACGACAAACAAAUCCAAAUCCCUUCAUAAACCCCGAACACGCACAACACAAUUCCAAAUUCGAGUGACUACAGCAUUCAGUACUAUGAGCAUUACAUUACAUCCCGCCGUAACAUCCCUCCAUCUAAGUUCCAACGAUUUCCUAGGGUUUCGAAGGAGUGCGAAAAUGCGAACCAAAAACCUAAACCUAAGGAGGAGAAAUAUCGAGAGAGGCACUAACCAGUUGCGACCGAGAACUUCUUCUGCGCGGUAGCCGGUGACCAUCUCGAAAACGGCGUUGACGUAUAUGAUAGGGUGGUCGGGCUCGAGCGCAUCGGUGACGACGAAGCCGCAGGGCGCGGUUUGGAGGACGGGAAAGGGGAGGGGCCCGACGACGUCGUCAUCGUCGUCGUUGAGGAGGAAGGAAGCGGCGUCGUCGUCGCCGCUGAGAUCGGAAUUGCUGUCCCACUCCAUUGAAGGGAAACGGAAUCGCGGCAGACGUUGAAGUUCAUCCCAUGGGGCGCGCGUGGAGAAGGGAGCGGUGAGAAUCGGAGAGAGAGUGUACGAGAAAUGAUGGUUGAAGGAGCGUUGCGUUGCGUUGGUUAGUCGGUGUUGUUGAGAGAGUGGAAGAGUGGAAUUCGAUGAUGAGAUUGAGAAGGCAUAAAACGAGUGGCGAGCAAUUUAGCUAAGAAAGGGGUGAGUUGAGGUUGUUCCAGAAAAAAGAAAGUAGAUGACGCUGUUCUUUUUAUUUUUUGGUUUACUUCAAUUUUUUUCUAGCACUGUCUUAGGGAGAUGUUUCUUGGAUUAAGAUUUCUUUUAAAAUGUUCAUAAUUGUCACAAAAAAUAAAAUGGAUUUUAAGGAAAUAAUAUAAAAAAUAUUGUAGAUUUAAAAAAAAAACUCGUUUAGAAGAUUUGAAAAUGUUUAGAAGUUUUAAAAAAUAUUUAAAAUUAUAAAAAUCAAUAAAAUUAUAGUUUAGAUAAGAAGAAAGUAAACCCAAUACUUUUUUCAUCUUUUUUCAGUUAUGUGGUUGAAUUUCAAGUAAGUAAACUCAAUGAGUAAUAAAUAGUACACAUGAAUACUUUUAGAGAAUAAAUAGUUUGAUGAUUUCAAGUGAUAUUUAAUAUCAUACUAGAAAUGUCCCAUUAAAUCUGCCAAAUUCUUCAUGAAGAACACCUUGAAAUUUAUAUAUUUUUUUAAUGAGACUUUGUAUAAAUUAUACAAAAUCUUAACUUAAAACUAUCACAUUUUUGUUUUCAUCCUUAACAAAAUUUAGUUAUUAUAAUUUAUUUACCUUUCUCAGGUUAAUUCAAUAUUAACAUAAAUUUGCCUUUUUGUUGCUUAUCUUCUUUGUUUAUUAAAAUCAAAUAGAGAUUUAAUUAUUAAGUUUCCAACUUCCAAUGGUCAUUAAUUUUAAAUCCAUUUCAUUCAUUACCACCUUUUAAGAGAAUCUAGAAGUGAAUUUUAUUAUGUCUCAAUGGAAUUGAGCCAAUCAUAAACUCUUGGAACAGGGAACUGGCAGAUAGGAAUUUUACAUCAAUUUCUUAAAGAAAAAAGUGAUUGAAUUUUAUUUGUAUGCAGUUUCAACGUCUUACAGAAAUUUAACAUCAAUUUCAAAACAGCCAAAAAACAUUAUUCGUUUACUGAUAUAGAAUAUACACUCAUAAGUAAUAUACAUGAUACAGCAUACAUAUAUAUUAAAUACAUAACCAAUAUUGAAUUAUAAAAUAAAAUAAAUAAUAAAUAAUGGCACACAAAUACAAAUUUUAUGAGUUAUGGUCAGCAGAAAAAGUGCUCCUUCUACAUCACUUAUAAUUUGAUCAGAAGGUGUAAUGCGAACUUUUAACUCGUCUGUAAGUAAUGAUUUUUUAAUGGAAAAACAAUUGUCUGGUUCACUUUAUCUCGUACCUAAGGAUCAUUUAUCAUGAACACAUAUAAGCAAUACCAUCAAACACAAAUAUGGCAAGAAAAACAACAAUAAACCAUACAAAGGUUACCACAUUCCAUAUUAUCACAAAAUAAAGGAAAAUAUGUACAGACUACAGGAUUCCCUACCUUGUACACCUGUUUGCAGAGUUACACUUCAUUACAACCAAUGUAUGACCAUGUCAGCUGACUUGUUCAAUGCAGAAGUAGAGACUUUCAUUACAUAUAAUGGACCUAUUGUAUUAGUAUAAACAUGAGUUUUUUUUUUCUAAACGUUGUCAUUGUUCAAAUUACAUAAUUUGAACAAAGCAACCGACAGGGAAAUCAAGUGAGCUACAACCCAAAUAUAUUAUUACCUACUAGUUACCAGACACUAAUAAUCUAUUCAGGAAGAAUAACUCAUAGUGUAUACUGGAAGGCAAAGUCUCAACCACGUAAAACCAGGCAUGGUAUGUGUCACUCAAUGAAAAGUUCUCAGGUCAGAACUAACCUUAAAAUAAAAUGAAACCUUGAAUCGACCUAAUACACAAAUGUUCUGACCGGCCAAGAACUUGUUAAGUGUUAUCAGUGACCAACACAAACCUUUACAGCCUUAAAAUGAUUUCAUGAUCAACAUUACCCUCCGUAUACCAUUCCGGUUUAUUAACUGGAUUUAGAUAACAGAGCAUGCCAAGGAAAGUUCAUGGAGAUCACUUAGCAUCCAUUCCUCCCCAGUUUGACCACCUAGUACAAUAGCUCUUGUCCCUCCAACAACACAUGUACUAUGUCCCCAGGCAAAUCUUGGAGGCCGCCCAGGUACAUUUAGGAUUCUCCAAGUAGGCUUCUCGUCAGUCGGGUCUAGUAUGUAAAGCUGGGAAGCAGAAUGAAGGCCUGCAACAGACCCACCAAAUAUCAGAAUUCUCCCACCUGGAAGGCUCACA